rnacentral:misc_RNA from 1 species
GGGAAGAAGGAAAGGGGGGAAAGAAAAUUGCACUCUCCUCGGAGAGUAUGCCUGUUUGAGGGUCAGCCUAUAAAAAAUCGACAUCGUUGCUGUUUCGCGGUGACGUUCGUCGGAAAUUGGGUCAUCUUAAAUCCUUUUGGUUUUAAGCGACUUAAAAUUUUCUUUUUGGUUCCAUGAACGUUUCUAAGAUUUAUUUCUUUACACGUUUAAGGGUAUCGAUUUUUAUUAGACGUGACCAUCAUAUCGGAUCGCGUCCAUAAUCUUUCAUUAACUGACCUCAGACAGGUAAGAGUACCCGCUU